UACGUAAGACGUUGUGCAACGUCGACGUACGCGCCGGGUAACAGUCAAAUUUCGCGGGAGAUAUCUAAGCUAUGCUCUUUUGAAAGAACAAACUCCUCUCCAAAAGUAAACGUGCAUUUCAACAAAAUCGCAUUUUUGUCACGAAUAAAAGGCCAAUAAAGGCAGCCAUGUUCUCUGAGGUAAGCGCCCCUCAGGAGGGUUCCUGUUCUCUUCUGUUGUGUCGUCCUGGCUCUGAGGACCAGGAGCCCUCCGUGUUUGACAGGGUCAAGCCGGCAUACUCACCCUGCUCUGAGCGUUUCAAGCUGGGGGAGCGCAGCUUCAACCGCCAGUAUGCGCACAUUUACGCCACACGACUCAUGCAGAUGAGCCCCCUGCUCACGGAGAGGGCCCAGCAGAAAUGGGGUGCAGAUGUACGGAUCAGGAAGUUGUGUGAUCUGCAGAUGGGUGAGCAGUGUUGCAUUGUGGGAACCCUGUUCAAGCACAUGGAACUGCAGCCAUCCAUUCUGAAGGAAAUCAGUGAGGAACACAAUCUGCUGCCCCAGCCUCCGCGCACGAGGUACAUCAGCGAAUCAGAUGAGUUGAUACUGGAGGACGAGCUGCAGAGGAUCAAACUAGAGGGCAAUAUUGAUGUGGACAAGUUUGUCACAGGUAGUGUUAUUGCUAUUUAUGGUGCAGAAAAGAAUGAUGGGAAAUUCACAGUGGAUGAUUUCUGUACUGCUGACCUCCCCCCGCAGGCCCCCAGAACCACUCUCAGCUCAGACAGGUUUGUGCUGCUGUUGUCAGGUUUGGGUCUGGGCGGUAGUCAUGCAGACAGUAUGCUGGCUUUACAGCUGCUUGUUGACAUGGUAACGGGUCACCUAGGUGACCAGGGGGAGCAGAGUGGUGCAUCGACAAUCUCCAGGGUUCUACUGGCCGGGAACCUUCUGAGCCAAAGCACACAGGACAAGGACGCAUCCACCAAGGCUAAGUACUUGACUAAGAAAACCCAGGCAGGCACUGUGGAUGCCAUGCGUCUGCUGGAUGAGAUGCUGAUGCAGCUGGUGUCGUCAGUUCCAGUGGAUGUGAUGCCGGGCCAGUAUGAUCCUACUAACUAUACCCUGCCCCAGCAGCCCCUACACCACUGUAUGUUCCCCCUCUCCUCCUCCUACCCCACCCUGCAGCUGGCCUCCAACCCACACCAGGCCACCCUGGAUGGGGUGAGGAUCCUGGGGACGUCAGGGCAGAAUGUGAAAGACAUCCAGAAGUACAGCAGCAUGGACAGUCACCUGGAGAUACUGGAGAAUACACUGAGGCUUAGACACCUCGCCCCUACUGCACCUGACACACUGGGGUGUUAUCCAUUCUACCUGAAGGACCCUUUCAUCCUGGAGGAAUGUCCUCAUGUCUACUUCAGUGGCAACGCCCCCUCCUACCAGGCCAAACGCAUCACCGGUGCUGAAGGUCAGGAAGUCCUCCUGGUGGCUAUUCCAGAGUUCAGCAGCACUCAGACAGCCUGCCUGGUCAACCUCCGGACUCUGGACUGUGAGCCAAUCCGCUUCUCUUCCUUCUCUGCUGGUGAUGAUGAGGAGAGUGAGAUGAACAUCAGCCACUGAAGGAGCAACACACACUCUUUGUUCUCAGCCCCUUCCCCUGGUCCUCAAAUGGAAUCAGGUUGUACACUAUCAAACAUGUUUUUAAAGUGUCUGCUGAAGUCUCUCAUUGGUUUCUCUUGAUCAGCAAAGAUAUCAGUCAUUAUAUAUAUAGUAAAUAUGGAGGAUCAAUGAUGCUGUGCAGUCAUCCCAUUAGUGUUUGAGUAGAAGGAAACAUGUUGCUAAUAAAAGGUGUGUGUGAUGGAACGGACUGUCUAAUGAAAGGUGUGUGUGAUGGAACGGACUGUCUAAUGAAAGGUGUGUGUGAUGGAACGGACUGUCUAAUGAAAGGUGUGUGUGUGAUGGAAGGGACUGUCUAAUGAAAGGUGUGUGUGAUGGAACGGACUGUCUAAUGAAAGGUGUGUGUGAUGGAAGGGACUGUCUAAUGAAAGGUGUGUGUGAUGGAAGGGACUGUCUAAUGAAAGGUGUGUGUGAUGGAAGGGACUGUCUAAUGAAAGGUGUGUGUGAUGGAACGGACUGUCUAAUGAAAGGUGUGUGUGAUGGAACGGACUGUCUAAUGAAAGGUGUGUGUGUGAUGGAAGGGACUGUCUAAUGAAAGGUGUGUGUGAUGGAAGGGACUGUCUAAUGAAAGGUGUGUGUGAUGGAACGGACUGUCUAAUGAAAGGUGUGUGUGAUGGAACGGACUGUCUAAUGAAAGGUGUGUGUGAUGGAAGGGACUGUCUAAUGAAAGGUGUGUGUGAUGGAAGGGACUGUCUAAUGAAAGGUGUGUGUGAUGGAAGGGACUGUCUAAUGAAAGGUGUGUGUGAUGGAAGGGACUGUCUAAUGAAAGGUGUGUGUGAUGGAAGGGACUGUCUAAUGAAAGGUGUGUGUGAUGGAACGGACUGUCUAAUGAAGCUCUUUGUUUGUGUGCCGGUGCCCAGACUCCUGUAUUUGUCAACACACAUUGUUUCCAUUUUAGUACGGUAGAUGACGUCAUGAAGAAGAACAAAACACAAAUGCUGUACGUAAAUGAGCCUUUAUUCAUUGGAAAAAUAACUUUCCUCAGCUACGUUAUGAGGAACAUUUCAGAAAUCUCUUGCGUUCUCUCAACCUUCAACUAACAUUUUGUGAAGUUAACAUUUUAAUGUCUUGUCGGUAUUAUGGUUUUGCUGUCAUGGGUGAAAAUAAUGUAAAUAAAUCCUCACUUUUCAAAGAAA